rnacentral:rRNA from 1 species
UACGUAGGGUGCAAGCGUUGUCCGGAAUUAUUGGGCGUAAAGGGCUCGUAGGCGGUCCAUCGCGUCGGGUGUGAAAAGCUGGGGCUUAACCCCAGUCCUGCUUCCGAUACGGGUGGACUAGAGGUAGGUAGGGGAGAUCGGAAUUCCUGGUGUAGCGGUGAAAUGCGCAGAUAUCAGGAGGAACACCGGUGGCGAAGGCGGAUCUCUGGGCCUUACCUGACGCUGAGGAGCGAAAGCAUGGGGAGCAAACAGG